rnacentral:tRNA from 1 species
UAGCUCAGUUGGUAGAGCGUCUGCCUUACAAGCAGAAUGUCGGCGGUUCGAUCCCGUC